UAGUCGUUAGAUCAAAGGCAGAUCACUGAUCUUACACAUCAAGGAUGAUGGUUCGAGUCCAUCACGACUAA
rnacentral:tRNA from 1 species